UGUGAGCUGCGUUGAAGUCUCGAAGAGUCGGCAGAGCUAGAGAGGAGGGCGAUGGGUGAGGGGAGGCGGUGACGCGGAGGCGGCGCGGCGAGGCGAGGCGAUUGCGGAGCCGCAGAGGCAGCAAGGCGGAGGCGAUGAUCGGCGAGGGCAGAUGCGGCGGCGAGUGGCGAGGGCAACGGCGGUGACCGGCGAGGGCAGCGGCGGCGACCAGCAAGCUUUCUAGUUUCCAGUUUGGUAGGGAAGAAGAAGAAGAAACGGGAGAAGAGGAAGAAAACAGAAGGGCAAAAUAGUCUUGUCAGCGACGACGACGACAAACAAUAGGAAGGGUUGGCGAUUCCUCUACUCCAGGUUGUCUCUCUCCAAACCUAAUUUACUUUCCUGUUCUCUUUACUUUCCUGUUCUCUGUACGCAGUCUUCUUCUUGAAUGGAGCGUCGAGAUUAUUUGAAUGGAGCGUCGAGAAUACUGUUGGUAAAUUCAGUAGUAUAUUUUUGUGUGUAUGGGUUUUGUCUCCGUGAGCUGUGGCAGUAUUGAUUUAUAAGGUGCUGUUUAUUUGUAGUAAUUAUUUGUGGGUUUUGGAGUUCCUUUGUUUUUCUUUAUAUAGAGAAUUGUGUUAUUUUGAUUUUUGGUGGAGGCCCUGCCGGUUUUGAUCAGUGUUUCAGUUUUGGAUAUAUUGAAUUGUUUUAUUUUAUUUUGAUAUAAACUGUGUUGUAAUUUCAUUUUGAUUGUUAUGGAUUCAUUUUGAUUGAGGCC